CUGAAAUAGUAAAAAAAAAAAAAAUAAAAAUUGUUAUAGGAAAUUUUCCCCAACAGGUAAGCACAAUAAAAAGUCAAAAGGAGGUAUGGGCUGAAGAAUGACUUCCUGCAAUGUGUAAUUUCAAGUUCCCAUACAGAUAACUCCUCUGAGGAUCUGAGGAACAUGUGUUCUUACCUUGUCCUGAUUCUUCUAUACAUCUUCUUGGGAGAGAACUGUGCAACUUAAAGACUAUCUUAUUUUGUACUGUGAAUGUCUCUGGAGCUCCUUGGGAAAAAAGUUAUCUGAUUUAGCUACUAUGUGCCUUUUGAAAGAAAAGGGCUACGUCAGAAGACAGCAGUCUCACACUGUGCCAGAAAAACACUCCAAACUGAAAAUGAAAACAAAGUUUCAUUUUUGGCUCUAGUGAUACCUGUUGUACUUGCUAUAGA
rnacentral:lncRNA from 1 species